CUACGGGGGGCUCCAGUGGGGAAUAUUGGACAAUGGGGGAAACCCUGAUCCAGCAAUGCCGCGUGUGUGAAGAAGGCCUGCGGGUUGUAAAGCACUUUCGGUUGGGAGGACUGCUUCUAGCACUAAUAUUGUUGGAAGUUGACGUUACCUUCAGAAGAAGCACCGGCUAACUCCGUGCCAGCAUCCGCGGUAAUACGGAGGGUGCAAGCGUUAAUCGGAAUUACUGGGCGUAAAGCGCGCGUAGGCGGCUAGAUCAGUCGGGUGUGAAAGCCCCGGGCUUAACCUGGGAACUGCAUCCGAUACUGUCUAGCUUGAGUGCAGGAGAGGAGAGUGGAAUUCCACAUGUAGCGGUGAAAUGCGUAGAUAUGUGGAGGAACACCAAUGGCGAAGGCAGCUCUCUGGCCUGAUACUGACGCUGAGGUGCGAAAGCGUGGGGAGCAAACAGGAUUAGAUACCCUAGUAGUC
rnacentral:rRNA from 1 species